rnacentral:rRNA from 1 species
UACGUAGGGUGCGAGCGUUGUCCGGAAUUAUUGGGCGUAAAGAGCUCGUAGGCGGUCUGUCGCGUCGAUCGUGAAAACUUGGGGCUUAACCCUGAGCUUGCGGUCGAUACGGGCAUGACUGGAGUUCGGCAGGGGAGACUGGAAUUCCCGGUGUAGCGGUGAAAUGCGCAGAUAUCAGGAGGAACACCGGUGGCGAAGGCGGGUCUCUGGGCCGAUACUGACGCUGAGGAGCGAAAGCGUGGGGAGCGAACAGG